rnacentral:tRNA from 1 species
CGGGUAGUAGCUCAGUUGGUUAGAGCGCCGGUUUUUUACAUCGGAGGUCGGAGGUUCGAACCCUUCCUACUCGA